rnacentral:ncRNA from 2 species
AAACGUGCUCCGGGGUCGGUGUAAUUCCGAACCGGCGGUGACAGUCCGCGAGCUGCGAGCACGAGGCCGACAGGUCUCGGGCGAGCGGUUGAACCGGUGGAAUUCCGGUACCGACGGUGAAAGUCCGGAUGGGAGGCGGCACGUGU